CAGGUUUCUGUGGGCCAGCCAGGUCCACCAGGUAUCCCAGGAGCCCAAGGGGGAGCCUGGGUUCCAGGAGCCAAUGGGCCCUCGGGGGCCUCCAGGGGAUGGCUUUCCAGGAGAAAAGGGGAAAUCUGGUGAGAAGGGGGAACCUGGCCUGACAAGAGAGAACGUCAUCAAAAUGAUCAGGGACAUUUGUGGUGAGUUAAAACAGCUCAUUGACUAUAAUUGCAGUCGCUGUACUCAUAAUAUACAGGAGAACGAUCGCCUUACGGCGAGGAU